GCAGAUGAGCAGAGCAUAGCUGAUUCCGGUUUUUCCGGAAUUGGAGGAAAGUCCGGACUGCGUGGGACAGCAUACCGGCUAAUGACCGGGCGGAGCAAUCCGACGAUUAGAGCAACAGUGACGAAUCGAUUAAAAAUCGGGUGAAACGGGCAAUCUCUAUGCGCAGCAACCUCGAAUAGGUCCCCGCUAAGCGUGUCCCAGGCGAUGGGGACGGGUAGAGGGCUUGACAUCUUGUGGUAACACAUUAUGCAGACUAAUUAUGCUCGCUACCCCGGGGUGGUUGGAAACGACUGGCCCGGGGCAGUACAGAAUCCGGCUUAUAGUUCAUCUGCAAAA
rnacentral:RNase_P_RNA from 1 species